AACACCCUCCCUGGAUCCUGCUGUUCCAGCGGCGGCCGCCACGGUCGAAAUUUCCCCGGGAGCCACGGAGGAGGGUCUGGCCGGGAGGUGGAUAAUCUCCGGCAAGGCGACCACCUUUGCAAGUUGCGACUCACAUCAAAUCGCUGCAGCGUCCAUCAUGGCAUCCCCACACUCGUGCACGGUCCAUCCUUCCAAGGCGUGAAGUAUUCCAGCGAUGCGCCAAGCACUCAUCACCUUUCUUGGCAGCCAAUUCUGUCAUAUGAAGCAAACAGAGCAUACUCAGAAGAAAUUCAGCAUGGAUAUUCUGCAUGGUUUCUGGGAUUUUCAUUGCUGGGGUGCUCAAGUAAGUGCAAUCCUUGCGAACUUUUUUGAUGGGGAACUGUGAGAUAGGAACGAAUAUAGUUCCUUGUGGUGCCAUCUUCUGUUCUUUGUCAUCAAUGUUGUCCACUAGCCAAAUCUGCGGCAGUUUAAGCAAUCACCAUCAGUGUAAUUGAUUUCCAUGACAAAAGUAUUUUCUCUGUUUAGUCCUAGAAAAAUCAACUAAGGUAAUGUGCUCCUGUCCUACUUGAUAGGUUCCAACCAGCAGUUAUUUCUACUAUGACUAUCUGUAAUUCCGUAUUCACAUUUCAUGCCAAAGGCUAAGUUAAAUACUUUCAUUUUUUUGACUUA